rnacentral:sRNA from 1 species
UAUUCUGCCCCACGGGGAAGGAUGAGAAGCUUCGACUAAGGUUCGACUCGAGCGAAGCGAGAGAACGUUGCCGCAGGCAACGGCCCGAAGGGCGAGGAG